rnacentral:lncRNA from 1 species
CUUAUUUUCUCCUUUCUUUUUUUGAAUUAAUGAAGCAUUUUUAAUAUUCCAUUGCAAUCUGCUUUAUUGUCUUUGAAACAGCUUUAUUAAGGUAUCAUUGAUACAAAAUAAAAUGGACAUAUUUCAAGAGUACAAUUUGAUAAGUUUUGACACAUUUAAACAGUUGUAAAAUCACCACCACAAUGAUUAUAAUGAAAAUAUUCACCAGCCCAAAAGUUUCCUGCUGCCCCAUUGUGAUGAUUCCAUUUUAUCUCCUUUGUUGGCUCCUUAGCUACAACUCUGAUUUUUAUUUCAGUGGUUGCCUUGGAUUUAUAGUAUACAUCUUUAAAUUAUCAUUGUCUACCUUCAAGUGAUAUUUUACCACUUCACAUAUCAUAUAAGCAACUUGUAAUAACAUACUUCCAUUUCUACUCCCUCAGACUUUAUGCUAUUCUUUUCAUACAUUUUCCUUAUACAUACGUUAUAAACCCCACAGUGCAUUGUUACUAUUUUUGUUGACAGAGUCAAUGAUCUUUCAAAGAAAUUUAAAUUAUUUAAAAAUACCCUAUGUUCCUACCCCAUGGUUACUAUUUCUGGUGUUCUUCAUUCCUUUGCAUAGAUCCAUAUUUCUAUCUGGUAUAAUUUUCUUUCUCUUGGAGGACUGCCUUUACCAAUUAUCAUUCUGUAGAUUUGCUGGUGAUUAAUUCUUUUAUCUUUUGUAUGCCUUCACUUUUGAAAGAUAUUUUCAUGACUAAAUUCUGGGUUGGCAAAUUUUUAUUCACAGUCCUUUAAAAAUUGUGUCAUUGAGUUCUCACUUAGUUAUUUUCAAAGAGAAAUCUUUGGUAUCUUUAUCUUUGUUCCUCUGUAUGAAAUGUGUCUUUUUUUCUUCUGGCUGCUUUGAAGAUUUCUCUUUAUCACUGGUUUUGAGCAAUUUGAUUAGUAUGUGCCCUGGUAUAGAUUUUUCCAUGUUUUUAGUUGAUUUCCUCCAUGACAGAAAGAUAGCCAGCAACUUAGGAAUAACAGUGUCUGGAGGUGAUGGUCAGCCCAGGUGAUGGUGAUUAUGAGUAUGUUUCCCAUGAUGGAGGCCAGGUACUCCAGCAGAUGCACCAGGAAGAAAACCUUCCUAUGAUGCUGGACAGCUGCAAACCCCUCCAGGGUGAAUUACUGGACUGCUGUCCUGUUUCUUGCAUCCUUCAUCACUGACGUUUCCAUUUCUUCAGUCAACUCUCUUUGAGCUAUUUUGCAGGGUGUCAUGACUGAAAAGUGAAGAAAUCAAUUUCAUUAAACGUAUAAAUUAAUG